GUGGGGAGUGGAGGCCCGUGGCGGGCACUAUCUGCAGGGCCGAACUCUUUACCAAAUUUAAUCUUUGUUCAGCUCUAAAGGAUGGGGCCCGCCGCGGAUCCUCGCCAGACACGGCAGUCGACCCCCGCCGCCGCUUCCUUUUAUGUCAUUUCCACGUUUAAAACCGGCUAAUCCGAGAUAAAAGAACGCCAGACCGAGCGUCCGUUCCCGAGCCGAAGGCAUUUAUAAUUCUCCUGAAACCAACAACAC